rnacentral:rRNA from 1 species
GAUGAACGCUGGCGGCGUGCCUAAUACAUGCAAGUCGAGCGAACGGACGAGAAGCUUGCUUCUCUGAUGUUAGCGGCGGACGGGUGAGUAACACGUGGAUAACCUACCUAUAAGACUGGGAUAACUUCGGGAAACCGUAGCUAAUACCGGAUAAUAUUUUGAACCGCAUGGUUCAAAAGUGAAAGACGGUCUUGCUGUCACUUAUAGAUGGAUCCGCGCUGCAUUAGCUAGUUGGUAAGGUAACGGCUUACCAAGGCAACGAUGCAUAGCCGACCUGAGAGGGUGAUCGGCCACACUGGAACUGAGACACGGUCCAGACUCCUACGGGAGGCAGCAGUAGGGAAUCUUCCGCAAUGGGCGAAAGCCUGACGGAGCAACGCCGCGUGAGUGAUGAAGGUCUUCGGAUUGUAAAACUCUGUUAUUAGGGAAGAACAUAUGUGUAAGUAACUGUGCACAUCUUGACGGUACCUAAUCAGAAAGCCACGGCUAACUACGUG